CCCCUACGGGGGGCAGCAGUGAGGAAUAUUGGUCAAUGGCCGAGAGGCUGAACCAGCCAAGUCGCGUGAGGGAAGACGGCCCUACGGGUUGUAAACCUCUUUUGUCGGGGAGCAAAGCGAGUCACGUGUGACUCAUUGAGAGUACCCGAAGAAAAAGCAUUGGCUAACUCCGUGCCAGCAGCCGCGGUAAUACGGAGGAUGCGAGCGUUAUCCGGAUUUAUUGGGUUUAAAGGGUGCGUAGGCGGCAUUAUAAGUUAGUGGUAAAAUAUUGGGGCUUCACCUCACUACGCCAUUAAUACUGUAGA
rnacentral:rRNA from 1 species